GGGCUUUUAGCUCAGUCUGGUAGAGCGCUCGGUUGGCAAUCGAGAGGCCGCGGGUUCAAAUCCCGCAAAGUCCA
rnacentral:tRNA from 1 species